rnacentral:rRNA from 1 species
CAGCCGCCACGGGAAUACAGAGGGUGCAAGCGUUAAUCGGAAUUACUGGGCGUAAAGCGCGCGUAGGUGGUUUGUUAAGUUGGAUGUGAAAUCCCCGGGCUCAACCUGGGAACUGCAUCCAAAACUGGCAAGCUAGAGUAUGGUAGAGGGUGGUGGAAUUUCCUGUGUAGCGGUGAAAUGCGUAGAUAUAGGAAGGAACACCAGUGGCGAAGGCGACCACCUGGACUGAUACUGACACUGAGGUGCGAAAGCGUGGGGAGCAAACAGGAUUAGAUACCCCCGUAGUCCCUGUCUCUUAUAU